GGGGGAGGGAACCCCCGGACAGUUCGUGAUCUUGUGAGCCUUGUGCAAGCUCACUCCCCUAGUAUCGUCUUUCUUUGUGAAACUAGGCAGUCUAAGAAUAAAAUGAGUAGGUACCGUGCUCGGUUAGGGUUACGAGGUUUUGAUGCUUCUGAUAGCGUUGGUCUUAGUGGUGGUCUUGCUUUGUAUUGGCAUGAGUUCUUGAGUCUGGAUGUAAAAGAAAUAAACGAGAGAUAUAUUGAUGUGUAUGUUACGAGUGUGGCGGGUGAGCCGCCCUGGAGGCUCACUUGCGUAUAUGGCGAACCGUGGAAGGAGGACCGACACCGCAUGUGGUCCGCCCUCCGUGGUCUCCACCAACAGGCCGACAUGCCAUGGGCCAUGAUUGGUGACUUCAAUGAAGCUAUGUGGAGCUUCGAGCACUUUUCUGCAACGCCACGGUCAGCGGGUCAGAUGAUUGAUUUUCAUGAUGCCCUUGAAACCUGUGGUCUGUACGAUCUUGGUUUUGCAGGGCUACCGUACACAUAUGAUAAUCGUCAUGGCGGCCGGGCCAACGUCAAGGUUCGACUUGAUUGA
rnacentral:rRNA from 1 species